rnacentral:rRNA from 1 species
GAACGAGAAAGUGGAGCAAUCCAUGAGUAAAGUGGCGCACGGGUGAGUAACACGUGACUAACCUACCUUUUAGUGGGGGAUAACCUAGGGAAACCUGGGCUAAUACCGCAUAAUACUUACGAGUCAAAGCAGCAAUGCGCUGAAAGAGGGGGUCGCGGCCGAUUAGCUAGUUGGCGGGGUAAUGGCCCACCAAGGCAGUGAUCGGUAUCCGGCCUGAGAGGGCGCACGGACACACUGGAACUGAAACACGGUCCAGACUCCUACGGGAGGCAGCAGUGGGGAAUUUUGCGCAAUGGGGGAAACCCUGACGCAGCAACGCCGCGUGGAGGAUGAAGUCCCUUGGGACGUAAACUCCUUUCGAUCGGGACGAUAAUGACGGUACCGGAAGAAGAAGCCCCGGCUAACUUCGUGCCAGCAGCCGCGGUAAUACGAGGGGGGCAAGCGUUGUUCGGAAUUAUUGGGCGUAAAGGGUGCGUAGGUGGUUCGGCAAGUCUUGUGUGAAAUCUUCAGGCUCAACUUGAAGUCUGCACAAGAAACUGCCGGGCUUGAGUAUGGGAGAGGUGAGUGGAAUUUCCGGUGUAGCGGUGAAAUGCGUAGAUAUCGGAAGGAACACCUGUGGCGAAAGCGGCUCACUGGACCAUUACUGGCACUGAGGCACGAAAGCUAGGGGA